UACGUAGGGACCGAGCGUUGUCCGGAAUUAUUGGGCCUAAAGCAUCCGUAGCCGGUCAUGCAAGUCUUCCGUUAAAUCCAGCCGCUCAACGGUUGGGCUGCGGAGGAUACUACGUGGCUAGGAGGCGGGAGAGGCAAGCGGUACUCAGUGGGUAGGGGUAAAAUCCUUUGAUCCAUUGAAGACCACCAGUGGCGAAGGCGGCUUGCCAGAACGCGCUCGACGGUGAGGGAUGAAAGCUGGGGGAGCAAACCGG
rnacentral:rRNA from 1 species